CGUGCCAGCAGCCGCGGUAAUACGGAGGGGGUUAGCGUUGUUCGGAAUUACUGGGCGUAAAGCGCGCGUAGGCGGACUAUUAAGUCAGAGGUGAAAUCCCGGGGCUCAACCCCGGAACUGCCUUUGAUACUGGUAGUCUUGAGUUCGAGAGAGGUGAGUGGAAUUCCGAGUGUAGAGGUGAAAUUCGUAGAUAUUCGGAGGAACACCAGUGGCGAAGGCGGCUCACUGGCUCGAUACUGACGCUGAGGUGCGAAAGUGUGGGGAGCAAACAGGAUUAGAUACCCUGGUAGUCCACACCGUAAACGAUGAAUGCCAGUCGUCGGAUAGCAUGCUAUUCGGUGACACACCUAACGGAUUAAGCAUUCCGCCUGGGGAGUACGGUCGCAAGAUUAAAACUCAAA
rnacentral:rRNA from 1 species